rnacentral:lncRNA from 1 species
AUGCAGCCUCAUUACACUGAUGCACAACCGAAUGGAGUAGAUUCGGUGGCUCUUCAGAGCGUUGAAGAAUUCAUGAAAACCAGAGGUGAUGAUGAUGUCAAGGUGCUGAGGAUGAAGGUUGGAGGAGGAGCAAUUGGUGAUGAAGAUUGUUGCAGUUGUGGUUAUGAAUUCGUAAAGAGAAAUCAGAGAGAUGAGAGUGAAGUUUGUUUAAGGUUGAUAUACGAUGAGGAAGAUGAUGAAGGUUGA